AAAAAAAACUGUACAAUUGGACCUUGUAAACAGUCUUUUCAACCCCACCUCUUUCCACCAUCCCACUACAAGUGCCCAAAUGACCUUUGGCAAUCAAUUACUUUGGUUGGUGACUACAUGUGCAAUAUGACCUGCAAAACCCCAAAAUGCACUUAACUUCACCAAUGCCUCUGCCAAUAACAUAAACAAGAAACCCUGGCCUUCCAUUUAGUGACUCUUGUUUUUUACCAUGACAUCUCAUACAUGAUCUUGCCCACUCCUUGUGACACAUCAUCAAAAUUGCACUCUUGAUGUCAUGAUUAUCAACCUAGACAAGUAUGGAAGACAGGUUUGAGGACGCUAACACUAGAAAUAAGGGUCCUGUGCCAUUUCAAAAAAUUUUUUUGACUGAGAGAAAGUGAUUGUGGUACUAGAAUCACAAAAGCUUUGUGAGAAUGGUGCUUAAUGCUUAGGCUAAUGUUAUAGCAUGCCAGUGUUCCCAUUACUCUAGUAGGGGAGUUGUCCACGUUAACUAAGUCAAUAGGGUUUACAAGUGAACAUGAAAGAUUUCAAUGUUUUGAAGUUUCAGGAAUGUUUAAUUGAGAAUAUACAACUUGAGAAGCUUUCUUUAGUGAGUGUGAAAACUCCACUAUUGGGAAUGCUUAAGGAACCAAAUACAUGGUUACCUGAGUUUCCUACUUCCUCAACAUCAUUUCAUUCUUUAUCUUAUUUAUUUUCUUCUUUUCUUCCAAUUAUCUGUAGUUCUAAAUUUCCUAGUGUUAAAUUCUGAUCCACCUUUAGCUGGACCAAAAGAAAACCGGUAAUACUAUCCCACAA